rnacentral:rRNA from 1 species
UUGCCAGCCGCCGCGGUAAUACGGGGGGUGCAAGCGUUGUUCGGAAUUACUGGGCGUAAAGGGCGCGUAGGCUGUUGCCUAAGUCAGAUGUGAGAUCCCACGGCUUAACCGUGGAACUGCAUUUGAAACUGGGCGACUUGAGUACGGGAGAGGGAAGUGGAAUUCCAGGUGUAGAGGUGAAAUGCGUAGAUAUUUGGAGGAACACCAGUGGCGAAGGCGGCUUCCUGGACCGAUACUGACGCUGAGGCGCGAAAGCGUGGGGAGCAAACAGGAUUAGAUACCCUGGUAGUCCACGCUGUAAACGAUGUACACUAGGUGUUGCGGGUAUUGACCCCUGCAGUGCCGCAGCUAACGCAUUAAGUGUACCGCCUGGGGGCUACGGUCGCAAGACUAAAACUCAAAUGAAUUGACGG